CCUACGGGGGGCUGCAGUGGGGAAUAUUGCGCAAUGGGGGGAACCCUGACGCAGCAACGCCGCGUGAGCGAAGAAGGCCUUCGGGUCGUAAAGCUCUGUCAUUAGGGAAGAAAAAAAUGACGGUACCUAAUGAGGAAGCCCCGGCUAACUACGUGCCAGCAGCCGCGGUAAUACGUAGGGGGCAAGCGUUGUCCGGAAUUACUGGGCGUAAAGGGUGCGUAGGCGGCCUGAUAAGUCAGAUGUGAAAUACCAGGGCUCAACCUUGGGGGUGCAUUUGAAACUGUUAGGCUUGAGUGCAGGAGAGGAAAGUGGAAUUCCUAGUGUAGCGGUGAAAUGCGUAGAGAUUAGGAGGAACACCAGUGGCGAAGGCGACUUUCUGGACUGUAACUGACGCUGAGGCACGAAAGCGUGGGGAGCGAACAGGAUUAGAUACCCGUGUAGUC
rnacentral:rRNA from 1 species